GCACCAGCCAAUUAUGUUAAAGGCCACAGGAGCUUUCCAAUAUGAUGCUUCCACAUGUACUCCCUGCUUGCUGCUUACUAUAAAGCCUUGCCCCUGUAGACAUUCGGGGCUCUCCCCCAAACCAUCCGAUCAGCUUCUGUGUGUGUUUUUGGGAGGUCACUAACAUUUCCCUGGCAUAACAGCAUGUCGUAGCGGAGACAGCCAGGCUUCAGUCUUGGCAGAAGUCAGUAGCGGGGGACCAGGACUGACAGGAACUGAAGAACUUCUUGGCUGUGCCUCUCUCAACAAAGCAGAGAUCAGCAAAGACAGGAGACCAAGAAGCAUUGUAGAGCUAGCUCUACAAGCCAGCCCCUGGACUCUGCAUAGAGAAUGGCGCUGCCUACACUGGGCUGAGUUGUCUACAUCCAUUAACAACCAAGAUGAUAAUACUGGCCAGUUUUGUGUGAACUUGACACAGCUGGAGUUAUCACAGAGAAAGGAGCUUCAGUUGAGGAAAUGCCUCCAUGAGAUCCAGCUGUAAGUGCCAGAAAUCUGAAGUUGAGAUAUCAACAGAGCCAGUCCCUUCUGGAUACACAAGGCAGCAGUCAUGGACGCCUCUUUACCGGCCUUUGGUGCUCAGUCAUCCUGGCAGCUCUUGGUUCAUGGAUUUACCUUUUCAGUGCCUGUAGGCUGCAAGGGCAGUUUACUCUGUGUCUGUGACUGUGGGUUCAGCGUAUACCAAAUAUGAUCUCAUCACGAGUUACUUUGUAUCUGUGAAGGUGAAUUGGGUAUUAAUGUACAUGUUGUAUGAGUUAGGAAUUGGCUAUGUCUUCUAUAUAUUACAUAUGUAAUUAUGUAUGAUAUACAUAUACUUUUCUUCAUGUUCUAAGAUCGCACCCACCUUUCAGCUGCACCCUAUGUAUGUACUUGCAUGGAUAUUUUCAUAAUAUAUGAUGGCGUAACCGGAGUCAGCAGGUCCCCAUAUCCUGCCCCCAGCUUUACAGUGAGGACCUCAGAGUCUGAAUUUAACUUUAUGUUAUAAUUCUCUUCUGGAAGUGAGGCCUCAACUUUUCUCGGUAGGGGAUAUCAGAUUCAGCUUCUUUGAAAGUCUCCCUGAGUCAGAAUGGAAAUGUGGAUAAGCUGGCUGGGAGCUGAGGCCUUCUGAGAGCAGACACAAUCAUCAGUGACCAUUGACCAGACCUAUCCCAGUGACCUCCAAGGCUCUUCCAAGUGCCUUCUUUUAACACACAACUGACAGGGAGAUUAGAAGCUGAAUGCUUGCUUUGCUUUCUAUGACAGAAUAAAUUUUGACAAACUGGUCUCCA